GGGCGUUCUCACCGGAAGUAUGAGAUAUUGUUUCGUGAGCUUUAAUCUGAUAAUCAUGAACCAGUGCCAUAUUUCGGGGGUCGUCGUAGCCGUCUGUCUCUGUGUGUUAUUGCAGACUGCCUCUGCCUCCCUCUACUACACCGGUUACAGCCCGGCUCUGUACGGAUGGAACCAACCAUCCACUGAUUUCUUUGGGAACUUCUCAGGAGGAAGCCUUGUGAUGCCUAUCUUUCUGGUGUUGAUUCUACUGUAUGUGGCCAAAAAUGUCUUGGAGAGCAGACGGCUGGGAUAAUCUUACUUGUGGAACUUUAAUACAUCAUCCCACCUGUUUGGAGGAGAAACUCUGUUCAUAGAAAUUGCUGUGGAUGAAAUUGAAUCUCUGAACAUAUUCAUUAAAGAAGUUUCACAAUUC
rnacentral:sRNA from 1 species